CCAUUCAAUAUUAUUAAAAUCUUAUUCAUAAUAGGAUAAUGUCAUGUCUACAGCUUCCCACUAAACAUUACAACAUACUUGAGCGAGCUUAUUUUGAACAUAAUUAUAAAUAGAUUCUUCUAAGUGUUUGUGUCUGAGAUUGACAGAAGAGAGAGAGCAAUUAUUUUGAGCAGCUCUUUUAUCUGACAUUAAUAUUUGUAGUUAGAAUCAUUUUCUCGAACUGCCAUCUGUAUCCUUCCUCUGACAUCAACCUGCCCAUAAAUUUGAUUUCCGGCCCUGCUCGCCUCCUUCUGUUGAGUGAGAAUCAUUCGAGUUUUUCUUUCUUCUUCCAUUAUGUCCGGCCAAGCUUUUCCGGCAACUUCUUUUCGCUUGGUCAAAUUCUGAUACCUCUUGAAAUCUACAGAAGAACCAUUGCAUAAGAGGGAUAGAAAAGCUGCAGGUCGAAUGAGCAUUCUAAUUGAUUAGUCUUAGUUUGACGGUUUAGAAGCAACACGACGAAGAUGCAAGAAAAGUAGUGAGCCUCCUUGUUGUAAGUUUGUUAUAGAUCGGAGAUGCUAAGUAUGACUCUAGACAUAUAAAA
rnacentral:lncRNA from 1 species